AAUCUAAAAAUGUUUGGUUAAACGCUGAAAACUAAAAAUGUUUGGUUAAACCCUGAAAUCUAAAAACAUUUGGAUAAAUGCUAAAAUCUUGAAAGUGGUUGCUAGGCAGUUGCUAACGUCUUACAGGUGGUUGCUAAGCUGUUGCUAAGCGGUUGCUAGUUAUUUGCUAAUGUAUUACACAUGGUUGCUAAGUGGUUGCAAGGCGGUUGCUAAACAGUUGCUUACGUUUUCCAGGUGGUGGCUAAAAUGUAGCUAACUGGUUGCUAGGCAGUUGCUAAGUGGUUGCUAGGCAGUUGAUAACGUUUUCCAGGUGGUUGCUAAGUGGUUCCUAGGCAGUUGCUAAUGUUUUCCAAGUGGUUGGUAAGUGGUUGCUAGGCAGUUGCUAACAUAUUCCAGGUGGUUGCUAGGCAGUUGCUAAGUGGUUGCUAGGCAGUUGCUAACGUUUUCCAAGUGGUUGCUAGGCAGUUGCUAAGUGGUUGCUAGGCAGUUGCUAACGUUUUCCAGGUGGUUGCUAAGCGGUUGCUAGGCAGUUGCUAACGUUUUCCAGGUGGUUGCUAGGCAGUUGCUAAGUGGUUGCUAGGCAGUUGCUAACGUUUUCCAAGUGGUUGCUAGGCAGCUGCUAAGUGGUUGCUAGGCAGUUGCUAACGUUUUCCAGGUGGUUGCUAAGUGGUUGCUAGGCAGUUGCUAACGUUUUCCAGGUGGUUGCUAGGCAGUAGAUAAGUGGUUGCUAGGCAGUUGCUAACGUUUUCCAAGUGGUUGCUAGGCAGUUGCUAAGUGGUUGCUAGGCAGUUGCUAACGUUUUCCAGGUGGUU